UGGGGAAUUUUGGACAAUGGGGGAAACCCUGAUCCAGCCAUCCCGCGUGUGCGAUGAAGGCCUUCGGGUCGUAAAGCACUUUUGGCAGGAAAGAAACGUCAUGGGUUAAUACCCCGUGAAACUGACGGUACCUGCAGAAUAAGCACCGCCUAACUACGUGCCAGCAGCCGCGGUAAUACGUAGGGUGCAAGCGUUAAUCGGAAUUACUGGGCGUAAAGCGUGCGCAGGCGGUUCGGAAAGAAAGAUGUGAAAUCCCAGAGCUCAACUUUGGAACUGCAUUUGUAACUACCGGGCUAGAGGGUGUCAGAGGGAGGUGGAAUUCCGCGUGUAGCAGUGAAAUGCGUAGAUAUGCGGAGGAACACCGAUGGCGAAGGCAGCCUCCUGGGAUAACACUGACGCUCAUGCACGAAAGCGUGGGGAGCAAACAGG
rnacentral:rRNA from 1 species